GACGAACGCUGGCGGCGUGCUUAACACAUGCAAGUCGAACGGAAAGGCCCUGCUUGCAGGGUACUCGAGUGGCGAACGGGUGAGUAACACGUGGGUGAUCUGCCCUGCACUUCGGGAUAAGCCUGGGAAACUGGGUCUAAUACCGGAUAGGAGCCAUUUUUAGUGUGAUGGUUGGAAAGUUUUUUCGGUGUAGGAUGAGCUCGCGGCCUAUCAGCUUGUUGGUGGGGUAAUGGCCUACCAAGGCGGCGACGGGUAGCCGGCCUGAGAGGGUGGAUGGCCACAUUGGGACUGAGAUACGGCCCAGACUCCUACGGGAGGCAGCAGUGGGGAAUAUUGCACAAUGGGCGCAAGCCUGAUGCAGCGACGCCGCGUGGGGGAUGACGGCCUUCGGGUUGUAAACUCCUUUCGCUAGGGACGAAGCUUUUGUGACGGUACCUAGAUAAGAAGCACCGGCUAACUACGUG
rnacentral:rRNA from 1 species